rnacentral:tRNA from 1 species
AAAGGGAGACCUAAUUCAGGUAGGAGACGAAAAAAAAGUAGUCCCUACCAAGAAUCAAUCCCAAAAGGUCGGAACGAGGCAUGUGGCUUUCAAACUAGGUUCUGGGUUCAUAAAAGACCUGAAUCAGGAACAAGGGCUAUUAGCUCAGGUGGUUAGAGCGCACCCCUGAUAAGGGUGAGGUCCCUGGUUCGAGUCCAGGAUGGCCCACCUGCACAGGUGGCAAAAACAAGAGAAGCGAGGAAUCAGCACCUUAUCUUACUUAUAUAGUAGGAGAGAAUGCUGGCUCUGAGUACAGAGUCCAGAGGAACCUUGAAAACUGCAUAGAGCUAGGUGAAAAAGCCAAAAAAGAAGACCGCAAG